rnacentral:rRNA from 1 species
UUAGAAAACAUGCCGAGUGACGUGCUCACAAACUGACAAUUAUUCAAAUGGGAAACGUUUCCACCCGGCGCACCGGCCGAAGUUUCGGCCGGUCGCACGGGACGCGUUCGAUCGGGCGGGAUCCACGUGGGCCUUACAAACAGCCCAUCCUUAUCUUCAUCUGGAACCACUUCUAUCCUCUCGUUUCUUCUUCCACGAAGCGGCCAUGCCCGAGCAAAUCCCCUCCUCUUUCUCCUCUCUCGGCGAGGCCACAGCAAAUCCCCUGCUCUUUCUCUCCCCCGGCGAGGUCACAACACAAUUGGCGAGAGGGUGGAGCUGCAACGUCUUCCUGGCGACCAGAAGGCAGCUGCAACCAUGGAUUGGGGAGCUGCAAACGAUGCUCAGAAGAGUUGCAUCCGGAGUCUACGGGAGCCCCGACUGCUACGGCGAGCUGCAACCGUGGAUAGCGGGAAGCUGGAAUAGGCAUCCAAAGGAGCUGCAACCGGCGUCCUUGGGAGCUGCAGACGAUGAGCGGCGACUAGCUUCAGGCUAUGGCGGCGGUGCGGCCAUGGAACGGACGACACAGGUGCUGCGAGCUGGAACCGGCGCACGCCGGAGCUGCGGCCACCGCCAUCGGAGCUGUGGCCGCCGCCAUGGGAAGCUACAAGUACGGGACACGUUGCUGCAUGCACGGAACUGGCGAGAAACACAGGAGUCCGACAACGGCGAGGGGCGGCGGCCGGCGGCGAGGGGUGGCGACCGGCGAGAUGAGUCGGGCGGUGCUUCUAGGGCAGGCGCAUCGUUCGUCCACGGCGCGAUGGGGAUGUUUCCUAGAGAAGAAGACACAGGGGAAGAAGGAAAAAGAUCGGGCGGCUCUAAUUUUCUGAAUCGCACGGUGCUGAUGUGACCGGCCCAAAUUUGGGCCGGUGCGCCGGCGCCUAGCACCCGCCUAUUCAAAUCAGGGGAAAUAUGAGUAGAUCAAUCGUAGCACCUUCAGAUUUGGUACAUCUUUUUUAUUAUGUUCAUGUAGUGCUGCUGCUUGCCAUGUCCGACCACCUCCACCAUGCUGGCUUCGGACCACCACUGGAGCACCAAGGGUGGUGCCCUCGAGUAGUUACGGGACUCGCGGCAGGUGAGGGGAAGGCCGCCGCCGCCGGAUUCGUCAGGAUGGGCGGCGGCGGCGAUAGGGCGAUGCGGCUAGUCGGCAGGAGCAGAAGCAUCCGCCAGAGCUGCCGGUAGGGAGCGGAGGUACGCCGCACUCGGUCCUCCUGCAGCCGCCGUCCGCGACAGUGUCGACACAGGCCCAAGCGCAGCGGUACUUGGGCUUGCCGAUCUCGCGAUCGAUGACGCGCUGCAUCCCCACCACCAGCACAUAGAGGAGGGUAAGGCACGGCUGGCAGAGGUGUCCCGACUGUGACCUGGAUGGGGAUCAGCGGCGGCUCCUGAAUCGGAUGCGCGAUGGCAAGGGAUCCGCGAUGGCAAGGGGUUCGGCAGCGUCAAAUCUUGCCGUCGACGUAGCGACGAGACAGGCGGCAGCGAAGGGUUCGGUGGCGCAGGGAUCAAUGGCGCUUGAUGGGCGAGCGAUGGCGGCGGCGAAGGUGUCCCGACUGUGACCUGGAUGGGAUCGAGGGCAGUCUGAUCGCCUCGCUCGCUCGUGCGUGUGCGAGUCAUCGAUUUUUUUCAUAGGCUUUUUUUCGCUCGCUCCCUCCUAAUUCUGAUCGCCUCGCUCGCUCCUGGAUCGCUCCCUCCUACCGUGGUUUUGAUGUGUUUCUUGUUGGUUCGCGGGUCCAGAGGGAUCGCUGGGACAUGGGAGAUCGGAGGAAGGACGGAAAAACCAGUUGGUGGGAUGAAAUUUAACCACAGAGAUUACCAACUGAUACAUUAGUAGUAGAAGAUAUAGGGUUAAACUUUUAGAACCAUCACUUACAGUUUUCAUGGGACUAAUUUAAAAUUUUAGAAAUUAUGCGGCCCAAUAUUUCUAACAAAAGUAUAGCCCACACGCUACAAAUGGAGCUUCGUUGGACGCAAUCGUUGCUGCGUUGCAGGCUUGCAGCUUUUGUCGCGCUGCACGGUGCACCAUGAGAGCUGCAAUGAAGCUUCGCCACGCUCAAUGCUACGGGCUACGGCGCAUUGCUGCAAUCGUGAAAUCAUCCGGUUAAUUCGGAGCCACCACCUUUUCAAUUCACCUCGAUCGGUAUGCAACAGCGCAAGUAUGUUGCAACGAGGAUGCAUCUCUUAAAAAGCACGUCCAAUGAAACUCAAGGUUUUGUUGCUUUUCGUAUGUUCUUUUUGGUAUGUAUCCAAUGGAACUUAAGGUUUUGUUGCUUUUUGUAUGUUCUUCUUGGUAUGUGCAGGAGUGACUUUGUGCCAGAGGAUGCAGCCAACAACCAGAGAAGAUAUCCAACUAAUCAUUCAUUCUGCUGGUAUAUAAAUUAUGGAACCAAUAAUAAUAAAAGUCUAGGAUUCCUUUAUCUUUCGCAGCCGCCGUCAUUUGUCCGCCUCGUUUCCGAUGGUUCUAUUCUUGGUGGAUUUUCACGGAUCUGAGCGUAGUUUGUUUACUUUCAGAUUGAAUCUUUCAAAUUGAAUCUUUUUAAUCUACGCUACUCUUCAUAAACGACGGUUGCUGUUCUGCUGCGAUUGUCGACGAUUGUUGUUUUGCUGCAAUGGUCUAAUGGGUCCUUAACACUGUCUACUACAACAAGCUUUAACCGACUCCAACAAAGAAGGGACAAUGACGGUGGCGGGCCUUCGUUGCGCUUCAAUUCUUGUCGUCACUAUGUGGUCUAUGAAUAGAUGCAAUUUUUAUUAUUUACGAUGUUCAUUGUAUGAAGAUGUAAAGGUGG